rnacentral:rRNA from 1 species
GACGAACGCUGGCGGCGUGCUUAACACAUGCAAGUCGAACGGAAAGGCCCUGCUUUUGUGGGGUGCUCGAGUGGCGAACGGGUGGGUAACACGUGAGUAACCUGCCCUUGACUUUGGGAUAACUUCAGGAAACUGGGGCUAAUACCGGAUAGGAGCUCCUGCUGCAUGGUGGGGGUUGGAAAGUUUCGGCGGUUGGGGAUGGACUCGCGGCUUAUCAGCUUGUUGGUGGGGUAGUGGCUUACCAAGGCUUUGACGGGUAGCCGGCCUGAGAGGGUGACCGGCCACAUUGGGACUGAGAUACGGCCCAGACUCCUACGGGAGGCAGCAGUGGGGAAUAUUGCACAAUGGGCGGAAGCCUGAUGCAGCAACGCCGCGUGCGGGAUGACGGCCUUCGGGUUGUAAACCGCUUUCGCCUGUGACGAAGCGCGAGUGACGGUAAUGGGUAAAGAAGCACCGGCUAACUACGUG